rnacentral:rRNA from 1 species
GAUGAACGCUGGCGGCGUGCCUAAUACAUGCAAGUCGAGCGAACAGAUGAGGAGCUUGCUCCUCUGACGUUAGCGGCGGACGGGUGAGUAACACGUGGAUAACCUACCUAUAAGACUGGGAUAACUUCGGGAAACCGGAGCUAAUACCGGAUAAUAUAUUGAACCGCAGGGUUCAAUGGUGAAAUACGGCUUUGCUGUCACUUAUAGAUGGUUCUGCGCCGCAUUAGCUGGUUGGUAGGGUCACGGCUUAUCAAGGCAAGCAUGCGUAGCCGACCUGAGAGGGGGAUCGGCGACACUGGAACGGAGACGCGGUCCAGACGCCUGCGGGAGGCAGCAGUAGGGAAUCUUCCGCAAUAGGCGGAAGCCUGACGGAGCGACGCCGCGUGAGUGAUAGAGGUCUUCGGAGCGGAAAACUCUGUUAUUGGGGAAGAACAAAUGUGGAAGGAACUAUACACGUCUUGACGGUACCUAAUCAGAAAGCCACGGCUAACUACGUG